UGUAUACAAUUACAAUUUUAAAUUAUUUUUAUUUCUAGCUAAGAUGGGCAUGUUGCAGUUAUGACAGUUAUAAAUUUUAUCUUAGUAAUAUCUCAGUGAUAUUAAGAUUGGAUUUGCUUAAUAUUUCUUUCAAAAUACAGUAUGAAAAGUUAUGAAUGGGGCUUAGUUUAAAUGCAAGGAAGGAGCUAAACUAAUCUUGACAUUUAUUAGGUAUGAAAAGUAAUGAAUGGGACUUAGUUGAAAUGCAAGAAAGGAGCUAAACUAAUCUUGACAUUUAUUAGGUAUGAAAAGUUAUGAAAGGGACUUAGUUGAAAUGCAAGAAAGGAGCUAAACUAAUCUUGACAUUUAUUAGGUAUGAAAAGUUAUGAAUGUGGCUUAGUUGAAAUGCAAGGAAGGAGCUAAACUAAUCUUGACAUUUAUUAGGUAUGAAAAGUUAUGAAUGGGACUUAGUUGAAAUGCAAGGAAGGAGCUAAACUAAUCUUGACAUUUAUUAGGUAUGAAAAGUUAUGAAUGUGGCUUAGUUGAAAUGCAAGGAAGGAGCUAAACUAAUCUUGACAUUUAUUAGGUAUAAAAAGUUAUGAAUGUGGCUUAGUUGAAAUGCAAAGAAGGAGCUAAACUGAUCUUGACAUUUAUUAGUUCAGGUGGACCAGACUGUAGCAAGAUCUAUGAGCCUAUGUAACUUUAAGACCUCUGAUCGUCCCCUAAAAAUGGAUUCAAUUCUUCCACUCUACAGUUUUUUCUCUGGCAGUGAAAUCUAUCGUGGACUGAUUUCACCGUAUUGACCUACUGUCCCUGAAGUGACCAGGGUUUCCCUAUAAAAUGCUCCGACAUCAAAGGGUAGUGAAUGGAUCGUUCAAUGAGGUCCAUCUUCUCGCUUAGACAGCCUGUUCUACAUUAUGCGUUCAGAUUGUAAAGAAUAGUUACACGUUUUUUAAAUCACAGUUUUUUUUAAGUUUUGAAUUUCAAGUAGUUGAUUAUGGAGUGAAAUAAGGAAAUAAUUAUUUAUACAGAUAAAAAACUUUUUUUAAGUGAAAUAAAAAUAUCUGUUUUGUA